GGGGUUAUAGCUCAGCUGGGAGAGCGCCUGCCUUGCACGCAGGAGGUCAACGGUUCGAUCCCGUUUAACUCCA